UCCAAACUCUGUGUCAGUGAAUGGUUCA
rnacentral:piRNA from 1 species